rnacentral:rRNA from 1 species
UACGUAGGGUGCAAGCGUUGUCCGGAAUUAUUGGGCGUAAAGAGCUCGUAGGCGGUUUGUUGCGUCGGCUGUGAAAUCCCGAGGCUCAACCUCGGGUCUGCAGUCGAUACGAGCAAACUAGAGUGUUGCAGGGGAGACUGGAAUUCCAGGUGUAGCGGUGAAAUGCGUAGAUAUCUGGAGGAAUACCGGUGGCGAAGGCGGCAUCCUGGACCGGCAUUGACGCUGAUGAGCGAAAGCUAGGGGAGCAAACGGG